UACGUAGGGUGCGAGCGUUGUCCGGAAUUAUUGGGCGUAAAGAGCUCGUAGGCGGUUUGUUGCGUCUAUUCGUGAAAACCUGCAGCUUAACUGUGGGCUUGCGGUGGAUACGGGCAGACUUGAGUUCGGUAGGGGGAGACUGGAAUUCCUGGUGUAGCGGUGAAAUGCGCAGAUAUCAGGAGGAACAGCCGGCUGGUCGGAAAGGGCCGGGGUCCUC
rnacentral:rRNA from 1 species